GCGGCUAUCGGCUUUUCGCCAAUCCGGUAUAUUGGUUCCACGGUUUUCGCGGAAACGGGAGCGCGACGCAAGGGCUCGGAAUCGCGGGGACCGUUCGCCACGGGCGUCGCUGCUCGCGGCGAUGUGCUCGUCAACUCACG
rnacentral:tRNA from 1 species